rnacentral:lncRNA from 1 species
UGUUAUUAGACAUCAGUGUGCCGUUACCGACAGAGCGAAACUGCCUUUGCUUCGGGAGGGCCUCUCUGCUCCGGCUGGAGAAAACUGGAGAAGGAGGAACCACCGUGGACGUGGGCUGGGGAGGGGGCAGGGUGUCAGCGAUGGAAACGGCUCCUGCGGAGGAAGCAAGCUGAUGGCAGGCGAGCGCCCCAGGGAGGCAAGCCGAGGGAGAGCGGAGGCACCAGUUCCUGAGCAUUUCCUAGAAAACUACUCUUCGGUUUUCUGUCAAAACAGAGAGUAGCAGUGGAGGGACCAGCCCCAGAGGACCUCUUCGGCGAAAGAAACUCUGACUUUGGGAGGACUGUGCUGUCUGCUCACUUUUGCCAGAUUACUGCUACAUCCAACUCCAGCUCCAAGUUCAUGAAUUCAAGCGAUAGCUCUGCUGAUAAAUUCUUCAGUGGGUUUCACGUACCGUCUUUCUUCCAGCCUCCACAUACGGUACUCGGGGAAUGGCUGAACUCUGCCGCGGUUCAAAUGCAGGCUACUGAGCGGGCACAGAGCCUCCUCUGGCGGAGAACUGAGUGCAAGCAAAUACGAAGAUGCUCACAUCUGAAACAGAGGCUUUACAUGUGCUUUGGAGCUCCUGCCCACACAUGAACCACAUGCCCAGCUAGCGGUUGCUCUCUGAACUUGCAGCCCAGGAUGAGAAGCGAGGUGAGGCCAACAGAACCCUACUGGCACCCAGAUCCCUGGGUGAGAUAAAGGUUUUUCUGCUGUGAG